UGCAGCCAUGCCGCGUGUGUGAAGAAGGCCUUCGGGUUGUAAAGCACUUUCAGCGAGGAGGAAAGGUUGUCGGUUAAUACCCGACAGCUGUGACGUUACUCGCAGAAGAAGCACCGGCUAACUCCGUGCCAGCAGCCGCGGUAAUACGGAGGGUGCGAGCGUUAAUCGGAAUUACUGGGCGUAAAGCGCAUGCAGGCGGCCAAGUCAGUCAGAUGUGAAAGCCCCGGGCUCAACCUGGGAAUUGCAUUUGAUACUGCUUGGCUAGAGUCCUUGAGAGGGGGGUAGAAUUUCAGGUGUAGCGGUGAAAUGCGUAGAGAUCUGAAGGAAUACCAGUGGCGAAGGCGGCCCCCUGGCAAGAGACUGACGCUCAGAUGCGAAAGCGUGGGGAGCAAACAGGAUUAGAUACCCUGGUAGUCCACGCCGUAAACGAUGUCUAUUAGGAGUCUGUGGCCUUGAGCUGUGGGUUCCAAAGCUAACGCAUUGAAUAGACCGC
rnacentral:rRNA from 1 species